UGUGUGUCCUUAUGUCUGUCUGUCCUCACUCGUCUCUCUUCUUCUUCUUCACAGGUUGAACUUUUGUGGUCUCACCUCGGCCUGCUGCUCAGCUCUCUCCUCGGUCCUCUCGUAUCCAGACUCACGGCUUACAUAUCUGGACCUGAACAACAACAAGCUGGGCGAUGCAGGGGCUCGUCAGCUGAGUGAGGGUCUCAGGAGUGACAACUGUAUAUUAAAGGAACUGUGGCUGUGGAGUAAUGGGAUCAGUAAGAGUGAGAAGAGGAACCUGAAGUCACUACAGGAGGAGCUGAGGAGGUCUGGACGUCAGCUGACUAUCAGUACAUCAAUUUUCUAGCUCUGGUGAUCAGACUGACCCCCCUGUCAGUGAUGGAGCCUCCCGUCCACUCACCCCUAAAUUCUCAUCUUUCUUCUUUUUCUUCUCCUCUCAGCUCUGCUCCUCAUUUAAUAAACUCUCUGUGUCUCCUCAUCCUGUGUGCUCCUCCUUUAACGUCAGUUUUAUUUUUACCACCUUGAAACCCUCAACUGGUGACAAAACUUAAGCAGACUCGGAACUGCAGUCCCCCCCCACCCCAAGUUUCACCACUAGAAGCAGUAAAGUAGUGGAGGUCAUCCUGUAAAAAGUCCUCCAAGUAGGAGCAAAGAGAGUUGGACAGUCCAGCUGUGUGGUGACAGGGGCCCGAGGCUGUAGUGACACUGGGGACAAGGCUGGGACAAACCCUGGACAGGACGCUGGUCCAUCACAGGACGCAAUCAGCUCUUGUCUCCAUCGUCACUGUGUCAUUUGAACCCGUGUCUGCUCUGUGUCCCCCAAGUCCUGUCUGCCACCUGCUGAUUGUCCUUUGGUGACACUAACUCCCACGAGGCUCAGUUUUGAUUUUCUUUUUUAUUCCAUUGUCUCCACUUCACCAUCCCCUCCAGUCGUGUCCUCGUAGUGAGCAGCGGCCUGAACAAGUUAGCCAUUAAAAAGAAAUAAAAGAAAAGACGAGCAGAACAUGUAGGAGUGUGGAGAUGGGAUGGAUUGGCGCCGUCCAGGGUGGGGUCCUGACUUGAUGUGGACAGACGGCCACUGAGGGACCACCACCUGAACUGGACUGAGGGGGAUUAGAAAAUGGAAGGAGAAACAGAGGGGAAUAAGCUGAACUGGGAAUUAAGAAAGAGACAAGGACAAGAGUGGGAGAGAAGAAAACAGAGAGAUGAACAAGAGGGGCAAGGAGGAGAGAGUUAUAAAAUUGAGGUCAGUGACGCAGUUGGGACGAGGACAGAUGAGGAGGAGGAGGUCAUCUGUUUGUCACAAAUCACAGCAGGAUUGUCUAUCAGGGGUUUACAGUUGGUGGUCAGGGGGCUGAGAUGAACUGUAGAAGCACAAGUGAAGUCAGAAGGUCCAGAACACACAAGAUCUGUUUGUAUGUCAUGUAGACGAAGAGAAUGAGGUGACCUCCAUGUCUUCAUGUCUUAAUGUCUUCUGGACAUUCCAAUAAAGGGUUAAGAGAAUUGGUUUGGAUCUGUUGAGUGGAAAAUACGUCAGAGUGUCAUCUGUGUAGCCAUGGAGAGAAAUAUUGAGUUAUUUAAAAAUGGAUACUAAGAGGAACAUCUACAGUGAAAUAAAGAAUAGGCCGCAGAAUAGAGAGGGGCUGAGGAUGAGAGGCGGACCACCUGACUAAAAGCCUCUGCCUGUGAGGUGUGACUGAGCCAAGAUGGGCGAUGAGGAUGUCAUGGUCAGCUGGGUCAAAUACUGCAGUCAGAGCUAACAGCAACAGGACAGCGGGACCACCAGAGUCUCUUAUUAAAAAGACAAGGAAUGGGAGACAGCAGAGAGCGGCCAUAUUUAUAGAAAAUGAAGAAAAGCCGACGGACAACACGACAAGGGCAGACAUUUGUGUUUCUAAGGUCAGUCGUCUUGUAGGAGACAUUAGUGCCAUCUUGAUUGGCAUCAUCUGUAGUGAGACCCUCAUGGACUAAAAGACCACCAGACCUUCACUCCACUGAGCCUCAGUUCAGGUUUGAGCAGAUCAGUGACACGUGUGUGUUGGUGUGAAGACGUAAAGAUGGACGACAUCCUCAGUUAUUGGUGACAAAGAGCAGCUGGCUCCACUGAUAUCACUGCUGUGAUUUGUGAAUGUGACUCACUGUUAAUAAAAUAUGAAAUAAGAGAAACUGUGAGAACGGACCCUUUGAUGAAGUUUCAAAUGUACCAACAUCCAAACCAGCCGAGCGAGUCACCAAACACACCGGAGUGUCACGUCACCCAUGCCCGUCACUUUGUGUCCUUGCAGCCCCUCACCUCCCUACCUGCUCGUCGUCUUCUCCUCUUUACUGCUCUUUGUAUUCUGAAGUGUAAUAAACACAAGUGUGCUGAGGUACGAGAAAUAAACUUGGGCCAGGACUGACGAGA